GCCGAGAUGGUCUAAUCGGUUAUGGCGUCGCCCCAGAUAGGCGAAGGUUGCAGGUUCGGACCCCGCUCCUGGCC
rfam:Ixodes scapularis strain Wikel colony gcontig_1108379114260, whole genome shotgun sequence.